rnacentral:rRNA from 1 species
GACGAACGCUGGCGGCGUGCUUAACACAUGCAAGUCGAACGAUGAAGCUGGAGCUUGCUCCGGUGGAUUAGUGGCGAACGGGUGAGUAACACGUGAGCAAUCUGCCCUUCACUCUGGGAUAACUGCGGGAAACUGUAGCUAAUACCGGAUACGAGACCUUGGGGCAUCCCAGGGUCAGGAAAGAAUUUCGGUGAAGGAGGGGCUCGCGGCCUAUCGGCUAGUUGGUGAGGUAAUGGCUCACCAAGGCGACGACGGGUAGCCGGCCUGCGAGGGUGACCGGCCACACUGAGACUGAGACACGGCCCAGACUCCUACGGGAGGCAGCAGUGGGGAAUAUUGCACAAUGGGCGAAAGCCUGAUGCAGCAACGCCGCGUGAGGGAUGAAGGCCUUCGGGUUGUAAACCUCUUUUAGUAGGGAAGAAGCGCAAGUGACGGUACCUACAGAAAAAGCACCGGCUAACUACGUGCCAGCCGCCGCCGUAA